UGUUGAUAAGUCUUGUUUCUCAACAAAUCAUGUACUACUUAGUGUAAAUUUUUUCUAUAAUUUCCAUAAGAAGCUCUUUAGAUUCGAUUCUGUUAGUUCAUUUUCAUUUAGAACGCUGAAAAAACAAAAAAGUCCACUUCUAGUUUUAAUCUUAUCCUAUAAUGAUUUUACCCUCGGAGGGUGCAUCAAAUCAAGAAUAAGCACAUAUUCCUACUCAACAUGGGUGAAACUGUAUCCAACGUGUACGACCUGAUGUAUACCAGCCCUGUCACCCUGAAAAAAUUUCAACUAUCGUAGUUGUUGCUGAAUUCUGGCGUGAAGAAAUCUGCACUCAGAUCGAAAGUGAACGUUUAGAGGAACUGAAUUUAUUCGAGAGUAUUCAGUUGAAAAAUGUUAUUCCCAAGUUGCCAUCUACGAUUAACGAUUUACUGGAGGAAUAUGUCAACAUAUACAGAGACUCUAUGUUAUUAUGGUUGCUCUAUCAUCGCAAUAAAGUAUUAUCUUCGUUUCAUGGCAAUUCAACUAUUAUUUUGAGCCGUUUCCAUGAUUUUGCAUGCGACUGGGAUGGCACUAUUCACUACGUGCGCACAGCCAAACGGAUGAUGUUGAGCGAUCGACUGGAUAGCGAUGAAAAAUUCAAGACUGCUUGUUUGUAUUGCUUGGAAGACGAUAUCAAACGUAUAUGGCCAUCGGUGAACGCGAACAUGGAUUUACAGUAGACUCCCGAUUAUCCGCCAUUCGAUUAUCCGCCCUUCGGCUUAUCCGACCCAAUUUUGUCCGCCCUUUCCUCCGGGUUAUCCGACCUACUGAGGGCGGAUGCAUACAUAUUUGCAUAUUUUGGCUGUUUUUAGCGCAUAUUUCAGCAUAUUUUGCUCUUUUUACUCGUUUCAAUGCAUAUUUUUCUCAUUUCUGCUCACUUUCUCAAACUUUAUCUAAAAAAUCCAGUGUUUUUCGUUUUUUAGCUGGAAAUUUUUUUAAAAAAUGUCACCCAAAUGAAACAAAUUUCUCUGAAAACGUUAUUUCGGAUUAUCCGCCAUUUUCGUUAUCCGCCAGGCCUUCAGCCCCAAUUAGGGCGGAUAAUCGGGAGUCUACUGUAAAUGUUAUUGAUUUUCAAACUCGUCCCGAACUGUAUUACUGGAUCUGCUACCUCAGAAACGAACUACACAAGGUACCCAAUCCACGUAAUGAAUCGGUCGACGAAGUAAUGCUUCGUGAAGGCAAAUGGGACAAACAUCAUCAUUCAUCUGUUGAGUAUUUUUGGCAUCGUUUAUCCUCCGAUAAACAGUCACGAAUGGUUAUCCAUGAGUUUAAUUCUCGGUCGGAAUUAUUCACCAGGUUUAUUUUACUGAAACUAAACCAACAUCAACUUGAGACGUUCCUGGGAGCAAAAAGUAUUGAUUUUAUGUGGUCUCUGUUGACGUUUGAUCCAGCACGAUUUGAUGUUCUUCCACCUUGGAUGUACAUUCGAAACAAGAUCAAUGCAAAAGAUUUCAGUCGUUUCAUCAGAUAUGUGCUAUUUUCACUGGCCAAGUUCCCCAAAAAGAUGUCUCUGUCGAGUGCUUUGUUCUAUGAUAUGUGGAAGAGUGCUCCUCAGCAUUUAAAACGAUCGGCGUUAGAUAAUGUGGUAUUAAAUGAUCCGUCAUUUCUCAGCGAUGAGAUGUGGCCAUCUGACGACAAAGAAAUCAAAUGUCUGACGAUAGUACUACAAGAUGCUACUUUUGAAGAGAGAAACGCACUUUGGCGUAAAUAUUGGCUCAAUUUGAUCGGUUGCGCGCCUGUCGCAGAUUCGCUCGAAUUGAUGACAUUGUGUCUUGGAAAUGAUGACGAAAUUACGUUAUUUAAAGAAAACGUCAUGUCGAAAUAUGAAAAUAUCGCUGGAUGGGGCGUCUCGUUGAUAAAAAGUGGUUUGUUUGAAAAAUUGAAUGCCUUUUUGUCCAUUUGCUGCGCCGAUUCGAACAAAAUGAGUGAGUUGAAAGAACGAUUAUGUGCUGAGGCCGGAUUUCCUUGGCUAAGAUUCUAAGUUAACGUAAUCACUAGUUCAAUGAAUUGUUAUAUCAGUAUAAUAUUAUGAUGUGUAUUUAUCGUUUUUUUGAAGCAAUUAGAGCAGGCGAGUAUAACAAAGAGUGUAAAUAGUGAUGAAGUGGAAAAAAUUUUGGAUAGGUUCGAUGAUUUUUUUGAGGUGAUAUUUGAGUAGAGAUGAAGAUGAAAUUGAGGAGCAAUUGAAGUUGUUUUUUACUCGGAAGUGUCUAGAAGAGUUGCCUAGGUCUGAUCCUUGAAAUCCUGAGGUAUUCUUAUGUCAUUUAAGUAGGUACCUACUUUUUUUUAUUGUAUGUAUUUCAAUUUUUACGUGUAGGUAUAAUUUUAAUUGCUUAUGAACUCGAUCAGGAAAAAAAACCAUGCUUGAGAAGACUGACUUUUCUUCAAAUAAAAACCUUUUACGAACGAA